rnacentral:rRNA from 1 species
ACAGUGGACGCGAGCAUCUGUGGCCAAGUUUUUAAGGGCGCACGGUGGAUGCCUUGGCACCAGGAACCGAUGAAGGACGUGGGAGGCCGCGAUAGGCCCCGGGGAGUUGUCAACCGAGCUGUGAUCCGGGGGUGUCCGAAUGGGGAAACCCGGCAGUCGUCAUGGGCUGUCACCCGCAUCUGAAUGUAUAGGGUGUGUGGAGGGAACGCGGGGAAGUGAAACAUCUCAGUACCCGCAGGAAGAGAAAACAACUGUGAUUCCGGGAGUAGUGGCGAGCGAAACUGGAUGAGGCUAAACCGUAUGUGUGUGAGACCCGGCAGGGGUUGCAUGUACGGGGUUGUGGGAGUUCUCUUGUCCGGUCUGCCGGCCGGUCGGCGAGUCAGAAAUUGUUGAUGUAGGCGAAGGGUAUGCGAAAGGCCCGGCGUAGAGGGUAAGACCCCCGUAGCUGAAAUGUCAGCAACUUGUUUGAGGACCACCCGAGUAGCAUGGGGCCCGAGAAAUCCUGUGUGAAUCUGGCGGGACCACCCGUCAAGCCUAAAUAUUCCCUGGUGACCGAUAGCGGAUAGUACCGUGAGGGAAUGGUGAAAAGUACCGCGGGAGCGGAGUGAAAGAGUACCUGAAACCGUGUGCCUACAAGCCGUGGGAGCGUCGCGUGCCAAGCUUGCUUGGUGCGUCGUGACUGCGUGCCUUUUGAAGAAUGAGCCUGCGAGUUUGCGGCAUGUUGCGAGGUUAACCCGUGUGGGGGAGCCGUAGCGAAAGCGAGUCCGAAGAGGGCGGUCUGAGUAGCGUGUUCAAGACCCGAAGCGGAGUGAUCUAGCCAUGGGCAGGGUGAAGCGGAGGUAAGACUUCGUGGAGGCCCGAACCCACCAGGGUUGAAAACCUGGGGGAUGACCUGUGGUUAGGGGUGAAAGGCCAAUCAAACUCCGUGAUAGCUGGUUCUCCCCGAAAUGCAUUUAGGUGCAGCGUCGUGUGUUUCUUGCCGGAGGUAGAGCACUGGAUAGGCGAUGGGCCCUACCGGGUUACUGACCUUAGCCAAACUCCGAAUGCCGGUAAGUGAGAGCGCGGCAGUGAGACUGUGGGGGAUAAGCUCCAUGGUCGAGAGGGAAACAGCCCAGAGCAUCGACUAAGGCCCCUAAGCGUGUGCUAAGUGGGAAAGGAUGUGGAGUCGCAGAGACAACCAGGAGGUUGGCUUAGAAGCAGCCAUCCUUGAAAGAGUGCGUAAUAGCUCACUGGUCAAGUGAUUCCGCGCCGACAAUGUAGCGGGGCUCAAGCACACCGCCGACGUCGUGUCACUCCAACGUGAAGGGCUAACGCCUGUUGGGGUGGGUAGGGGAGCGUCGUGUGCCGGGUGAAGCAGCACCGGAAGGUAGUUGUGGACGGUAUGCGAGUGAGAAUGCAGGCAUGAGUAGCGAUACAUGCGUGAGAAACGUGUGCGCCGAUUGACUAAGGGUUCCUGGGUCAAGCUGAUCUGCCCAGGGUAAGUCGGGUCCUAAGGCGAGGCCGACAGGCGUAGUCGAUGGAUAACCGGUUGAUAUUCCGGUACCCGUGGCAGUGCGCCAGCGCUGAAUCAGGUGAUGCUAAGCCCGUGAA